AUUAAAGACAACAAACCUUGGGGCUUUUGGCAUUUAAGUAUAGAACAUUGAAAAUGUCUUUAAGCCAUAGGCUAUUAACCCAUAAAUGAAUCCAUGAAUCUGUUUUUCUAAUCUUGCAGAUACCAUAAUAACAAAGAAGCCCACCUUCAGGAGAGCUUCCUUCUUGGAGACAUAAAGUUGCAGCUUCUCUCCACAUCCACCUACUUUGAAAGGAAAGACAGAACCUCCAGUCUGGGUGGAGGCUCAGACUUGUCAAUCUCUACCUACAUUCUUAUGAAUUUCCAAGCCAUGUUUGAAGGCAGCGUUAGUACUCUGAAAUCACCCCAGCUGGGCCUGCUGGAGAUGUUCAAGAACUGUUGCUUUGAAAAAUUCAAAGAGCUGUGAGGCUACCUACCUGGACACUGGACAGUGAAUUCCAGCAGCUCUGUUCUUGAAUUUCUAACAUCCCCAUAACUCAGGAGAACAUCAGUCUCAG
rnacentral:lncRNA from 1 species